UACGAAGGGGGCUAGCGUUGCUCGGAAUCACUGGGCGUAAAGGGUGCGUAGGCGGGUCUUUAAGUUAGAGGUGAAAGCCCGGAGCUCAACUCCGGAACUGCCUUUAAGACUGCAUCGCUUGAAUCCAGGAGAGGUGAGUGGAAUUCCGAGUGUAGAGGUGAAAUUCGUAGAUAUUCGGAAGAACACCAGUGGCGAAGGCGGCUCACUGGACUGGUAUUGACGCUGAGGUGCGAAAGCGUGGGGAGCAAACAGG
rnacentral:rRNA from 1 species